UACGUAGGGUGCAAGCGUUUGUCCGGAAUUACUGGGCGUAAAGAGCUCGUAGGUGGUUUGUCGCGUUGUUCGUGAAAACUCACAGCUCAACUGUGGGCGUGCGGGCGAUACGGGCAGACUGGAGUACUGCAGGGGAGACUGGAAUUCCUGGUGUAGCGGUGGAAUGCGCAGAUAUCAGGAGGAACACCGGUGGCGAAGGCGGGUCUCUGGGCAGUAACUGACGCUGAGGAGCGAAAGCGUGGGGAGCGAACAGG
rnacentral:rRNA from 1 species